rnacentral:rRNA from 1 species
UACGUAGGGGGCUAGCGUUGUCCGGAAUCAUUGGGCGUAAAGAGCGUGUAGGCGGCUCGGUAAGUCCGCUGUGAAAGUCGGGGGCUCAACCCUCGAAUGCCGGUGGAUACUGUCGAGCUAGAGUGCGGAAGAGGCGAGUGGAAUUCCUGGUGUAGCGGUGAAAUGCGCAGAUAUCAGGAGGAACACCGAUUGCGAAGGCAGCUCGCUGGGACGUUACUGACGCUG